GAUCCUGGCUCAGGAUGAACGCUGGCGGCGUGCUUAACACAUGCAAGUCGAGCGAAGCGCUUAAGUUUGAUUCUUCGGAUGAAGACUUUUGUGACUGAGCGGCGGACGGGUGAGUAACGCGUGGGUAACCUGCCUCAUACAGGGGGAUAGCAGCUGGAAACGGCUGAUAAAACCGCAUAAGCGCACAGCAUCGCAUGAUGCAGUGUGAAAAACUCCGGUGGU
rnacentral:rRNA from 1 species